GAAAAGGUCAGGAAUUUUGUUCCACUAUUAUUUGGAUACUUUCUCAUCACUGGCCAUUGAGUAUGUAGAAAACGUAAACCAAUUUCCAAUGUACCUUUAAGUUCAGUGCAACAAAGCUAUCCUCAGCAAAAGAAUAGGUAUAAGAUGUAUUCCAAGUCCAAAUUGUGCUUUACUGUUGAUCUUUUUUUUUAUUAUUGAGUUUUUUUUCUUUUUCAUUAAUACUUUAAAUUUUCAAAAGCCCCAGUUACAUGAAAGUGGUAGGUCAGGGUAAAGAAAAUGCACAGAGAUGAAAGAUACAUGAUGUCCUCAGGACCCUCUGGGAAGGCCUCAUAGCCAAUCUUCUCCUCAGCAGACAAAGACCUGGAAACUCAAAGAGAACAACUGACUACUUAAGUUCUACAAUUCUCUUAUCUUAGGGGAUCUUUACAUUUUUUCUUCCGACGACUUCUUUCUUCUUCUACAAAGUAUCUUACUAGCUAAAUAUAACAGUUAUCGCGCUCAGGUUAGGGAAAAAAAAACCCUAUAAUACAGGCAACAGAGAUGGGAAGGAUCUCGAUCGCUGCAUUCUCAUUUCUCAUUCUUUCUUUUUGAACAGAACCGAAGAUGCAAUUCAGCAGAACAGAGAAGCCUGGGGAAAAACCCGUUCUGAAGUCACAGCAGUAGAAAACUGUGAGCUAAAUUAAGAUAAAAUGAAAAAACAGGGAGUGACAAAAAAUAUUGCAGACAUCAUGAAGAUUAUCCACUCAUCUUGAAGAUUAACAGGUGAAGGUGAAUCUGCACUGUAGACUCAAAGGGGAAAAACAAGGCUCCCUUUUGGCCAGCUCAAGGGAAAAGGCACCCCUGGAAGACUCCCAGGAAAGCAGGAAUUACAGAAGGGAUCCACGCCUGGGAAAGGUAGAACGUAUUCCCUCAAUUUAUAUCUAACUCUGAGUGGGCACUCUGUUUUUCACUGCAUUCCUGCAGAAAAUAUCAUUGAAUAUUUACCACAUAUAAGACCCCGUUUGGGUUAAAUUGUGUCCCUUUAAGAUUCAUAUGUUGAAGUCCUAACCCCAGUACCUCAGAAUGUGACCUUAUUUGGAAAUAGGCUCCCUGCAUAUGUAAUCAGUUAAGAUGAGGUCAUUAUAAUGGGUGGGCCCUAACCCAAUAUAACUAAAAUCCUUAUAAAAA
rnacentral:lncRNA from 1 species